rnacentral:rRNA from 1 species
UGGGGAAUAUUGGACAAUGGGCGAAAGCCUGAUCCAGCCAUGCCGCGUGUGUGAAGAAGGUCUUCGGAUUGUAAAGCACUUCAAGUUGGGAGGAAGGGCUGUAAGCGAAUACCUUGCUGUUUUGACGUUACCGACAGAAUAAGCACCGGCUCACUCUGUGCCAGCAGCCGCGGUAAUACAGAGGGUGCAAGCGUUAAUCGGAAUUACUGGGCGUAAAGCGCGCGUAUGUGGUUCGUUAAGUUGAAUGUGAAAGCCACGGGCUCAACCUGGGAAGUGCAUCCAAAACUGGCGAGCUAGAGUAGGGCAGAGGGGGGUGGAAUUUCCUGUGUAGCGGUGAAAUGCGUGGAUAUAGGAAGGAACACCAGUGGCGAAGGCGACCACCUGGGCUCAUACUGACACUGAGGUGCGAAAGCGUGGGGAGCAAACAGG